GAGGGGUGCAAGCGUUAUUCGGAAUCAUUGGGGCGUAAAGGGGUGUGUAGACGGUUUAUUAAGUCGAUUGCUAAAUUCUCUGGCUUAACUGGGAGGGCAUGCGGUCGAUACUGGUAGACUAGAGUGUGAAAGAGAGAAGUGGAAUUCUCGGAGUAGCGGUAAAAUGCGUAGAUCUCGAGAGGAACAUCAAUGGCGAAGGCAGCUUCUUGGUUCAUUACUGACGUUGAGACACGAAAGCGUGGGGAGCAAACAGGAUUAGAUACCCUGGUAGUCCACGCUGUAAACGAUGAUCACUAGACGUCAGCCUUGCUUUGCAAGGUUGGUGUCGUAGCUAACGCGAUAAGUGAUCCGCCUGGGGACUACGGUCGCAAGAUUA
rnacentral:rRNA from 1 species